rnacentral:lncRNA from 1 species
GCGUCUAAUGUGAGAGCAACCUACCAUUACUACAAUCCUGCACAAAAUGGAUGGGAUUUGAAUGCUGUAAGUGCUUUCUGUUCUACUUGGGAUGCUGGCAAGCCUCUCGCAUGGCGCCAGAAGUAUGGAUGGACUGCCUUCUGUGGACCUGUCGGACCUCGAGGACAAGCUGCUUGUGGCAAAUGCUUAAGGGUAAGAGUUCUUUAAAACAUAAUAAACUAAUUUAGGGUUAGUUCUUGGUCAGAAAAGGAAAAUAUAUAGUUGAUAAUAAAGGCUUGCUCUUAUUUAUUUACUUGAGAUGAAUUCUUUGCUAUGUUCAGGUGACUAACACAAGAACAGGAGCUCAAGUGACAGCAAGAAUAGUUGAUCAGUGUAGCAAUGGAGGGUUGGACUUAGACUAUGAAGGCGUUUUCCGGCCGUUAGACACAGACGGAAAUGGGUAUAAUCAAGGCCACCUUAUAGUCAACUACAACUUUGUAGAUUGUGGGGAUUACACCAAUUAAUUUAUUAAUUGGUUCCAAUAAAUGUAGUUCCUGUAUU